AAUCAGAAAAACUAGUGAAGAAAAUCAGUCAUAAACGACAUACGAACAUGAGGACUAGGAAUGGAGACGCUACCAAAUCGGUGACCCCUAAAAAGACGACGACGGAGAGGAAAUCCGCCACCAAAACCACACCUGAUCCUGUGACGGAAUCAACCACUCCAAAAACCGCCGAGACGAAGCGCGGUGCUGCAGCUAAAGCGAAGCAGGCAAAGAACAACGAAGCCUCACCCUUGCCGAUCAUCAGUUCCGAUUCAAAACCUGAACAGUCUACAGUAGUUGAAGAAACAAAAGCAUCUAAUGAUGCAACUUUGGUGACACCUGAAGCAAAAGUUACCCCACGCAAGAAAACAGUAGUGAAGAAGGUAGUCAAGGUUGUUAGGAAAACGUCUGGGAAGACUAAAACUCCUGCAGCAAAAGUUGCUUCUUGCCAGUCAUCAAAGACAGAUGAAUCUGUAAAGGAUCAAGAUGAAGAAAGAACAAAGGAGGAAAUGGUGGAUGCGAAGGAUUUUGUCUCCAUGAAUAAUGGGGAAUGUGCUACUGAAAAUGUUGGAGAAUCCCCAAAGAAGGAAGAAACUACUAAUGAAGUGGGAGAACCUUUUGAGAGUGUUGCAGAAUCCAUAGCGAAGGGAAAAGCUGCAAUGGAACUGGAAGAGUCUGUAAUUGAAUCUGCAGAGGAGAAUCAAUCAAUAACAGAAAUUGUUGGAGAGCCCAAAAAGGAGCAAACUGCAAUGGUUGUGGACUUGCCUUCUCAUGAAAUUGCCGAGGUCUCUAAAAAUGAAGAACCCAGUGGUACAGACAAAUCAGAGGAAGUGAAGGAGGUUAAGACAAAAACAUUUGAUGAUAAGGAAGAGAACAAAAUUGAGGCUGUUGACACAGAAGAAGAUAGCAAAGGUGAGUUGCAGGUAGAAGAUACUCAACCUGUGCAGGAUGAGUACGGUGUUGAUGAGGGAUAUGAGGAGUAUGGUGAUCGAGUGGACUUUGAAGAUCAUGUUGAGGAUGACUUUGUAGAAGAUGAUCCAGAGGAGCCUGUUGAAGAAGCUGAGGCACUAGAAGAGGAACGCAAAGAAUUAACAGCUAUUGCUAAGGAACGCAAGAUAAAGAAAGAGUAUGAAAUAUUUGUUGGUGGCCUAGAUAGAGAAGCCACAGAAGAUGAUGUGAGAAAGGUUUUUGAGAAGAUUGGUGAGGUAGUUGAAGUUCGUUUGCAUAGGAAUCUUUCGAUGAGUAAGAGUAAGGGAUAUGCAUUUGUGAAAUUUGCAAACAAGGAGCAUGCAAAACGUGCUUUGUCCGAAAUGAAAAACCCAGUGAUUUGUGGAAAGCGGUGUGGGACAGCACCAAGCGAGGACAAUGAUACUUUGUUUUUGGGCAACAUAUGCAACACAUGGACAAAGGAAGCUAUUAGACAAAAGUUGAAAGAUUAUGGCGUUGAAGGUGUUGAGAACAUCACUCUUGUCCCAGAUGUUCAACAUGAAGGGAGGAGCCGUGGUUUUGCAUUUCUCGAGUUCUCUUGCCAUGCUGAUGCCAUGCAUGCAUACAAGAGGCUUCAGAAGCCAGAUGUUAUAUUUGGUCAUUCGGAGAGAACUGCCAAAGUAGCAUUUGCUGAACCUAUACGUGAGCCUGAUCCAGAAAUUAUGGCUCAUGUGAAGACGGUAUUUCUUGAUGGGCUUCCUCCUUACUGGGAUGAAGACCGUGUUAGAGAGCAUUUGCAAGGCUACGGGGAGAUAGUGCGAAUUGUCCUGGCGCGAAAUAUGUCAACUGCCAAGAGGAAGGAUUUUGGGUUUGUUGAUUUCUCUUCCCAUGAAGCUGCUGUUGCAUGUAUUGAGAGAAUAAACAACAAAGAAUUGGGUGAUGGGAACUCAAAGACGAGAGUCAAAGCAAGGCUGUCAAAUCCUAUGCCUAAAACUCAGGCUGUGAAGGGUGGAAUGUGUGGUGGUUUUCUGAUUGAUCGUGCUGGCGUUGGAAACUCUUCAAGAUUUGGAAGGAAUUUUGGGCGGGGUGGACACCACUUCAACUGGGCAAAUUUCCAGCGUGAUAGGGGUUUCUAUCAACGAGGACAUGGUCAUUCUACUAGAAUGGGUCCCAAUGAAUAUGAUUUCAAUAACCGAAAUGCCAUGUUCAAUGGGAGGCAAUUCUUUGGACGAGGAGGAAGAAGAGGUCCUCUAAGAGGUGGUUAUCACCCUGCUGGAAGAGGUGUUACUGCUGCUGGCCCAUCAAGGUAUAAUUUCAAUAGACCUUGGUUUGAUGCCUCUGAUAGAAGGCAUGGGAACCAUGCUUCCUCUAGGAGGCAACCAUUUUCUGCAGAAGAAGCCUUUGAUAGACCUUACGUUGGAAGGCACUGUGAUGACCCUUAUUUCUACGAUGAUGGUGCACAUGGGAUGAAGCGGCCUUUUUUCAUGACUGACCAUGAUCCUGAUUAUGCACAACCUAGUAGGCUCCGUCCCCGAUUAGAUUACAAUGAUCCAGCUGUUUCAUUGCAUGGAACACAUUAUUAUGAUACUUAUGAUGCAGGCAAUGAUCCUUACCCACAUGGUUCCUAUGGUCCUGAAUAUGGUGCAUAUCCACCUUAUUACAGGAAUGAUCGUCCAUACGGAGGUGGUUACUACUAUUAGGUGCUUUAACAUUUGGUUGACUUGGAAAGCAGGAUGCGCUUCGUUGGUCACAGAAAAUGGCUUGCUGUUGAAGAAAAAUCAGACUAGCACUGGUGUUAGUAGAUUGGUUAGUUCUUUCUUUUCUGCACAUUUGGUUUUUGAUUCCAGGCACAGUGCUUGAUAUUAGUAGAUUGCUUGACGCAAUGUUGCUUGGCUUGGAGCAAAGAUUAAGCUCUUUAUUUCUUGGGCAUAUGACACUCUAAUGACUAUUUCACGGAGCAAGCAUCAGUUUAUGCGAAUGACUUAUAGUAUCAACUUACUUCUCUUCUAUAUCAUUAGAAAUUGGGGAAAUAAUUCUGAUAGCAAGGAAGAGUUAGGCUUGUUUAACAGAGUGAUAGAGUAUACUAUCCUUCAAUAUUCUGUUUCUACUCCAAGUUUAAUCCUGAAGCGGUCUUUUUUAGGUGGCGGCCAGUUUUUGUUUAGGAAACAGCUUAGAUUAUGGAUUUCAAAGAAAGAGUGAACAGAAAUUGAAAAUCAAACUGAAAAAACCGGUUACAAUUUUUUGGUUAUUUAAUCAAUUUCAUUUUUUGGUCUAAGCAUUACUAAAAUUUUAUUGUUAAAUGACUUUAUUGAUCAUGCUUGUGUUGGUGCAUGAAUUUAUACACACUUAUAUAUACUUUAUGAAGAUUGGUUAGUCUUCCUUUUUGAAUCUUAGGUUGUGGGUUCAAGACAGACUGCCUUAUUAUUUUUAAUCUAAUUUAAAACUAUCAAGAUCUGUCUGAAUGCUAGCCUUUACUCGUUCUCUCUCUCUCUCUCUCUCAUUGUCCACCCCUGACCUGCUACUCUGUCUUGUCUUGCUAGACAUAAACCUGCUCAAUCUGAAAAUUGUUUAAAUCUUGAAUUCAUUCUCUUUCUUAAAACUCCUGCUCAAUUCUUUCUCCUAGGCUUUCAAUCUUUGUCACUUAACAUCUCUUUUUAUUUCUCAAACUGUGUUUUUCCACUCGAUCUCACUCUUUACACUGUUUAACCCAUCCUGCAUUCUGUCUAACCUCAUUAGCUUAAGUUCACUUGCUUACAUUCCUGAUUUCAGUGUUCCUUUGAUUUAUUAUUUGUCUUUCAUUAUGGUUGUGAUGAAAAAGAUGGUUGCAUUAUUGUGUUGUCCAUAAAACAGGAACAUUUUUAAAUAUUUUGCCUACUGGGUUCACUACCCUUCAUUGAUUUUGUUACUCCCAUUGGAGGAUGCAAUGCAGAAAAUGAGGGGUCAAUUGACCCCACUUUUUCUUUAAAAUUCUUUUGUAUAUAUGUGUACUUCUAUGAAUUGAGCCCAAAGCGUCUGGGGAGAAUUCUUGAUCUGUCUUAUGAAAGAACACACUUAUAAGCUUGACACCAUAUCCAACCCAAAACCUUAAGAUAAUGGGUUUAUAGCUUCUUCCCACUUAUAUGUCUUUCACUCAUCCCAUCUUUUUCCAAUGUGAGAAUUUCACGCUUGUAUAUUUCUAGCAACCCCCCCUCAAGUUUAAAUCUCUUUUACAUUGGAUUUUUUGGGCUUGCUCCCCCUCAAAUGGAAGUCUUCUUAACUUAAGUAUUACGGUGUUACCAAGAGUCCUAAUUAUUCCACCAAACUCAUUCGAGCAUGCGCCUCUAAGAGUUAUGCUAGAGCCAUCACGCGUUCUGCCAUCACAUGUACCGAGAGUCUCAUCUCCAUCGAUCUGCUCUUCUCUAGAAGAGUGCCUUCCUGCUCCACUGGGUCUAUCAGGAGUCUCUUGACUCUUCCCAUCCACGUGUCAGAGCACUACGAGAAUCAUCGACCACCGUUUUCAUACUCAUUCUUGCCGAACCAUCGGCUUUGAUACCAUGUUAAAUUUGGAGAGAGUGUUGAUUAAAUUACAAUUUAAUUUAUUUUAAUUUGGAUUUAUAUAAGUAAUUAAAUUACUUUACACAUUAAAAUAAUUAGCUAAGUUAAUGUUGAAAUCUAACAAUUUAUAUUUAACACUUUUAUGUUUAUAUUUUUCCGAUGUGAGAUUUAUAAUUUCAACAAAUUUAAUCAUUAAACCCUCUUUUUGAUAAAAUUUAAAAUUAAUUGAAAUAAAAAAGUAUGUUGUGUAUUGAAAAAUUUAUUUACUUUUAAAAUUAUACUAUAAUUUUUCAAUAAUAAACUUCAUUAUUAUAAAAUGGUAUCACAAUAAUGAUUUUUUGUUAUUUAUACAAAGAAAUAUAUAUUUAAUAAUAUUAAUAGUAAUGUAAUUUUUUACUGUUUUAAGGGUAUUAGAUUUCGUAGGGUCCAAUUAUUUUAUAUUUUUAAUUUUUUAUAUAUUGACCCCAGGAAAAAUUUUUUCUAGAUCCCACCUCUGCAGUUACUAACAUCGUCAGCACUGCUAUCAUUAUUUUCUCUCCCCACUCAGCUGCCAUAAUAUCUUUGAUGUUGCUACUGUUGCUAUAGCACCAUAAUCACCACUCUUUGAUGAUGCUGCCAUCUUCAUUAUCACUGCAUUGACAAGCUACUACUACAAUUAUCACUGUUCUGCUAUUCCAUAACCAGCAUUGCCCCACCACCGCCAUCCUUGUUACUAUUGUGACUACAAUUAUUACCAUCACCCGCGAUCAUUUGAAUUAAAAAGUCACUAUGGUUUUUAUUCACAGUUUCUUGGGUUUGAAGCAAUCCUACUAGUUUUGCGUAAGCUGAAAUUCAGAAGUGUAAACAAUUCUUUUAUUUUCUAGUUAAUUGCCCUGGUCCCAAAAGGUGUCUUUGACUUGGUUACCCAAAUUUGGGGUGGUAUGUACUUUUUUUUUAUUUAAAUUAGUUGCAGCAAUUUUUAUGUUUCUUUGUAUGUCUUAGCUGGUUGUUUUAUUGUCUUCGGGCUUUGUUACUGUUAAAGAUGGUGGGUGAUCUGUGUUAUGACAGAUUAGUGGUAUUGGCAUUUGUAAUUGAUUUUUAUGUAAUUUUGAUUUGUUAGUCGAUUAGUUUUUCUGGUUUGAUGGCUUUGCUGUAAUUAAAUGUGUUUAAUUCAGUUCUA